rnacentral:lncRNA from 15 species
AUCAUUUUGAAGAGUUGAAGACUGAGCUGAUGUCAGGAAGUGGUGAAGCUGAAGGCGUCACUCUGCUGCUGACACUGACUGACAGUCCACAUCCAGACAACAUGAAGGCUUCAUCUGUGUCUCUGCUGCUCGGUGUGUCUGUGCUGCUGCUGUCUGCACUGACUGUUUCUGCAGUCUCUCUGGAGGUCAGUCCCAACCGUCCUCAGUUCUUAGAGAAGAGUCAGUCUGUCUGAAAUGU